UCCCUGAUAGCUCAGUUGGUAAAGAAUCUGCCUGCAAUGCAGGAGACCCUGGUUUGAUUCCUGGGGUGGGAA
rnacentral:tRNA from 1 species